CCGAAGUCAGAUGCUCAACGGAGCCACUCAGGUGCCCUAGAAUGUGUCCUUAUUUGGAAAUAGGUUCUUUACAGCAGUAACUGAGUUUAAACAAGGCAUUUGGGUGGACCCUAACCCAAUGUGACCGAUACCCUUAUCAAAGGGGGAGUGUGGGCAGGACGGAACACACAGAGGAAAGACCAAGGAGGCGCAGGGAGCGUGCCCUGGGUAGGCCAGGGCCACGCUGUGGGAAGCCAGGCACCUCCAGGGCACCCAAGGCUGGCAGAGCAGUCCCACACUGCAGGUGCCCAGUGGAGCAUGGUCUUCUGGCCUCCGCAACUCCGAGACAAUCCAUUUCUGUUGUUCUAAGCAACCCCAUUUGUGUGCUUUGCUACAGCCGCCCAGGAAGCUAAUACACGGCCUCUGACAGAAUAUCCGCAGGGCCCUCCUUUUCUCCGGGGGGACAGACCCCACCCCCACUAACCCUGUGAAGAGACCCAGGUCCGCAGAGGUGCCAUCAGUGGCCACGUCACACUUCAGGACCCCUUUUGUUCAGAGAUCUGCCCUCCCAGCAACCCGUGCUCUUCAGGGCAGCUGACCCCACUGCAGUUCCAGAGAGGGAUCUGCUGAGACUCCACCAGCCAUGGUGAUCAUUCUGGUGCUCGGUGAGGCUGAAAGCGGACCUGGUGUAUGAUCUGGGGAGCCCAAUUCUCCCCUCUCCCUCUUCGGGACAUCAACAAAGAAGCAUGUGGCCCCAUUGCCACGUCUUAGGGGAACCUGACCUAGCAGGAAGUCAGUCGUGUGCUGCUAUGCUGCCUUUCCAACUUAAAAAGAAAAAGGAAAAAGGCACUGAGUUGUAGCGUUUGCUGAUUUCCAUGGUGUAAAUACCUCAUCGUGGCCAAUUGGAAGCCGCCAACGGGACAUCCGGGAACCCACGAAUGUCGAUUGUGCACAGUCAGCACUUGCCAGCCCGAAGAAGCCAGCCCCAGCACCACUGGAGGACGCCGACGCAUGAGGCGGAGGCCAGCAGGACUGGGGGAGAAAAAGCAGUGGCGCCCCGAGGGCACUGGGAGUGCUGGGAACUGUGCUGUGCCCAGGAUUCCCUGACCUUGAGCUUCCAUGUUCCACGUUCAGUCACUUGCAGCCAAAUGCACCCCGUGUGCUGCAGGGGGGUGGAGUGAGAAGAGCCCGGGGAGCAGCCUUGACCCACCAGUGUGCAUGUGGCAGAGAAGGGGAGGCUGUGGACCUGGCUGCCGCAGGAAUUUGGCAAUGCCAAGGAUCGUGUUUGUCAAACUUAAACCUGUAAAAGAUAAGAGAAUUCCUAGCCCAGCUGUAAAACAAAAAAAAAAGUUCUAGGCUCCAGUUCAUCCCAUGAGUUAAGAAUUUAGGGAGGGAAGCUGUUACUUUUUUAAUUGUCCAGGGCUGUGGAAGUGGGCGCCUGAUCUUUAAAAUCUCUGUGCCAUUCAUGUGUUCAAUGGGAGUAGCAAUUCAGGCCCUCCAAGCUAUCCCUUCAAUGGCACUUUUUUCCAGAUGGCCACAGGCCAUAAUGUAAUUCAUUAAUUUAAUUUAAUUAGCUGUUUCACCACUACAUACCACAGCCUGCUAGAUUCUCGUCCCUGGAUACUAACUGGAUUUUCCCUACCUUCAGUCCCAGCUAGACCAGAUAAUUAUUUUCCCCAGUUCCCUGAGGGUAUGUUGUCUGAAACCCACCCCCUCAGACCAAUUUCUAAACCAGUCGAGUUUUUUAGUUGGACACAAUAGAAGCCGACACUCGGUAAUUUAAGCAGAGCAGGAAUUUAUUGGAAGGACACCAACCAGGCUCAGGAAAGGGCAGGCGUUGAAGGAGGCCAGCAGCUCGGGAUGCGUCAAGGGGCCCCCAGAGGAGAUGUCUGGUUCUGAAGCUGCUGCCGGGGCCACCGUCGCCAGGUGUCGUGGCCUGGACAUAGCCGCUGUCCCCCACGAAUGAUCUCCACUGUCCUCUGCAGCACCCCGAAUUCAGGGCAGGCUCCCGACCGACGGGUCAGGUCACAUGCCUGCUCCUGGCAGAUGGGCGAGAGGGUCAGCAUCGGCAUUGGGAGGACACCCACCUACCUCCCUCUAGGGCUCACCCCGUGAGGUAACCCCCCAUACAGGAAAGGGGUUUGAAUGCUGAGCAGGGAAAUAAAGAACACAUAACAGCACAUGUUCUCCUUGGCUAGGUGCUGCGCUAACAUUU